rnacentral:rRNA from 1 species
GACUAAUAAUCACAAUUGAUGACGGUAUCAACAGAAGAAGCACCGGCUAACUACGUGCCAGCAGCCGCGGUAAUACGUAGGGUGCGAGCGUUAAUCGGAAUUACUGGGCGUAAAGGGUGCGCAGGCGGUUUUGUAAGUCAGAUGUGAAAUCCCCGGGCUUAACCUGGGAAUUGCGUUUGAAACUACAAAACUAGAGUGUAGCAGAGGGAGGUGGAAUUCCAUGUGUAGCAGUGAAAUGCGUAGAGAUAUGGAAGAACAUCGAUGGCGAAGGCAGCCUCCUGGGUUAACACUGACGCUCAUGCACGAAAGCGUGGGGAGCAAACAGGAUUAGAUACCCUGGUAGUCCACGCCCUAAACUAUGUCAACUAGUUGUUGGGUCUUAAUAGGCUUGGUAACGUAGCUAACGCGUGAAGUUGACCGCCUGGGGAGUACGGUCGCAAGAUUAAAACUCAAAGGAAUUGACGGGG